rnacentral:rRNA from 1 species
GACAGAUGAUUGGGGUGAAGUCGUAACAAGGUAGCCGUAUCGGAAGGUGCGGCUGGAUCACCUCCUUUCUAAGGA